rnacentral:rRNA from 1 species
UACGUAGGGGGCAAGCGUUAUCCGGAUUUACUGGGUGUAAAGGGAGCGUGGACGGCCAGACAAGUCUGAAGUGAAAAUCCAGCGCUUAACGUUGGAAGUGCUUUGGAAACUGCCGGGCUAGAGUGCAGGAGGGGCAGGCGGAAUUCCUAGUGUAGCGGUGAAAUGCGUAGAUAUUAGGAGGAACACCAGUGGCGAAGGCGGCCUGCUGGACUGCAACUGACGUUGAGGCUCGAAGGCGUGGGGAGCAAACAGG